UACGUAGGGUGCGAGCGUUGUCCGGAAUUACUGGGCGUAAAGAGCUCGUAGGUGGUUUGUCGCGUUGUUCGUGAAAACUCACAGCUCAACUGUGGGCGUGCGGGCGAUACGGGCAGACUGGAGUACUGCAGGGGGAUGCGGAAUUCCGGGUGUAGUGGUGGAAUGCGUAGAGAUCCGGAGGAACACCAGCGGCGAAGGCGGCAUCCUGGACUGGUCCUGACACUCAGGAGCGAAAGCGUGGGGAGCGAUCCGG
rnacentral:rRNA from 1 species